rnacentral:lncRNA from 1 species
CAAGGAUCCCUAUAUUUGUGUUUGAAUGCCAUAUCACUACCAGGUCACCUUAUAAUUAAAAAGAUUAUAAAUAGAAUUUAUCAAUAUUUUAUACUUCACAAAAUGGAUAAAGACUAUGACAUGUCUCUUUAAAAAUUAUGUAGAGUACACUUACUUUGGACUUUCUGGUCUAUAAUUCUCUAUGGAGUUAAGCACCUCGAUCAAAGAAGUUUACUAUACCAAGCAUUUAGAAUUUAUUUCUCAUAUGUCAUUUAGUAUAAACAUGGAUAACAAGUUACAAUAAAUAGGCUAUAAGAUUCUAAAUACGUGGUAUAGAGUUAACAAUUUUAUGGCUAUUGAUAUGAACUA